UAGGGAAUCUUCGGCAAUGGACGGAAGUCUGACCGAGCAACGCCGCGUGAGUGAAGAAGGUUUUCGGAUCGUAAAGCUCUGUUGUUAGAGAAGAACGUUGGUAGUGGAAAAUCUACCAAGUGACGGUAACUAACCAGAAAGGGACGGCUAACUACGUGCCAGCAGCCGCGGUAAUACGUAGGUCCCGAGCGUUGUCCGGAUUUAUUGGGCGUAAAGCGAGCGCAGGCGGUUCUUUAAGUCUGAAGUUAAAGGCAGUGGCUUAACCAUUGUACGCUUUGGAAACUGGAGGACUUGAGUGCAGAAGGGGAGAGUGGAAUUCCAUGUGUAACGGUGAAAUGCGUAGAUAUAUGGAGGAACACCGGUGGCGAAAGCGGCUCUCUGGUCUGUAACUGACGCUGAGGCUCGAAAGCGUGGGGAGCAAACAGG
rnacentral:rRNA from 1 species